rnacentral:misc_RNA from 1 species
GGGGAACAAAAUGGUUAAUUUUCAUAAGCUCGUCUGGAUCAAUAUUACUGCAGAGGAGGGGAAGGCAAUGGCAAGGAUCUGAGUUGAGGGAGUCAGCAGUUGUACAAAAAUUUAAAUAGGGAGGGAUGAGGGGUGGUAAUGGCGAAUCUCAACCACCUAUUAUUCCAAACCGAUGAAGAAUUACUGCUAAUAUCAGCAUGCAUAUUGCUAAGAUCAUACCAGGACGUCCAAGUAACCAAUUCUUCGCC